GACGAACGCUGGCGGCGUGCCUAAUACAUGCAAGUCGAACGCAGUGGGGCCGGGUGAGUAACACGUGGGUAACCUCCCAUCAGAGGGGAUAACACUUGGAAACAGGUGCUAAACCGAUACUGAUGGAUGGACCCGCGGUGCAUUAGCUAGUUGGGGAGGUAACGGCGCACCAAGGCCACGAUGCAUAGACGACCGCAUAUGGUGAGCGGCCCCAAUGAGACUGAGAACCGGCCCAGCCUCCUACUGGAGGCAGCAGUAGGGAAUCUUCGGCAAUGGACGAAAGUCUGACCGAGCAACGCCGCGUGAGUGAAGAAGGUUUUCGGAUCGUAAAACUCUGUUGUUAGAGAAGCGGUAUCUAACCAGAAAGCCACGGCUAACUACGUGCCAGCAGCCGCGGUAAUAC
rnacentral:rRNA from 1 species